GAUGAAGAACGUAGCGAAAUGCGAUAAGUAAUGUGAAUUGCAGAAUUCAGUGAAUCAUCGAAUCUUUGAACGCAUCUUGCGCUCCUUGGUAUUCUGAGGAGCAUGCCUGUUUGAGUGUCAUUAAAUUCUCAACUACACUGACUUUGAAUUGGUGUGGCUUGGAUUUGGGGGGAAAAUUGUUGUGGGCUUUUUGUAUAGUCUGCUCCCCUGAAAUUGAUUAGCGGUACCUUUGUGGAACUGUCUACAGGUGUGAUAAUUAUCUACAUCUUAGACAUCUGCUGGAAUGCUGCUUUAUAAACCUUACUUGUAUUGACAAUCUUGACCUCAAAUCAGGUAGGACUACCCGCUGAACUUAAGCAUAUCAAUAAGCGGAGGA
rnacentral:misc_RNA from 1 species